UGGGCCUACGGGGGGCAGCAGUGGGGAAUAUUGGACAAUGGGGGGAACCCUGAUCCAGCCAUGCCGCGUGUGUGAAGAAGGCCUUAUGGUUGUAAAGCACUUUAAGCGAGGAGGAGGCUCCUGUAGUUAAUACCUACAGUGAGUGGACGUUACUCGCAGAAUAAGCACCGGCUAACUCUGUGCCAGCAGCCGCGGUAAUACAGAGGGUGCGAGCGUUAAUCGGAUUUACUGGGCGUAAAGCGUGCGUAGGCGGCUUUUUAAGUCGGAUGUGAAAUCCCCGAGCUUAACUUGGGAAUUGCAUUCGA
rnacentral:rRNA from 1 species